UACAGAGGUCUCAAGCGUUGUUCGGAUUCAUUGGGCGUAAAGGGUGCGUAGGCGGCGCGGUAAGUCGAGUGUGAAAUCUCGGAGCUUAACUUCGAAACUGCAUUCGAUACUGCCGUGCUUGAGGACUGGAGAGGAGACUGGAAUUUACGGUGUAGCGGUGAAAUGCGCAGAUAUCAGGAGGAACACCAAUGGCGAAGGCAGCACUCUGGGACGUGACUGACGCUGAGACGCGAAAGCGUGGGGAGCAAACAGG
rnacentral:rRNA from 1 species